UAGGUUAUUGGGAAGUGUCACUGGCCCACCAUGUCCUGUGUGAAAAGAUGAUGUUUAUCAACCAGGAAUGGAAUGCUUCCAAAACAUUUGCAAAACACCCAGGAGUCUGGAAGCUAUAAUUAUUCCUUCUGAAUGCUGCCUGUAACCCCUAAGGGAGUGUGAAGUGCAGGGGUUGCUGAUGUGACUGAACUUUUCCAUCUAGCAUUGUUUUAUAAACUUCAAUGCCACAACAACACAGAGUCCCUCUAGAGUUCACCAUGUUCCUGCUUCUACAUCCAUGGGCUGCAUGAGGCUGUUUGUGACUUCAUAGAACCAGAAAUUCAUGCUAAGCUGCUUCUCUCUCAGGCCAGGUUCAAUGAUAACUAUGUAAAUUAUUUAUUUC